rnacentral:rRNA from 1 species
GGUUAAGCGACUAAGCGUACACGGUGGAUGCCCUGGCAGUCAGAGGCGAUGAAGGACGUGCUAAUCUGCGAUAAGCGUCGGUAAGGUGAUAUGAACCGUUAUAACCGGCGAUUUCCGAAUGGGGAAACCCAGUGUGAUUCGUCACACUAUCAUUAACUGAAUCCAUAGGUUAAUGAGGCGAACCGGGGGAACUGAAACAUCUAAGUACCCCGAGGAAAAGAAAUCAACCGAGAUUCCCCCAGUAGCGGCGAGCGAACGGGGAGCA